rnacentral:rRNA from 1 species
UGAAUUGACGGGGACCCGCACAAGUAGUGGAGCAUGUGGUUUAAUUCGAAGAUACGCGCAGAACCUUACCAACACUUGACAUGUUCGUCGCGACUCUAAGAGAUUAGAGUUUUCGGUUCGGCCGGACGAAACACAGGUGCUGCAUGGCUGUCGUCAGCUCGUGUCGUGAGAUGUUGGGUUAAGUCCCGCAACGAGCGCAACCCUUACUUUUAGUUGCCAUCAUUUAGUUGGGCACUCUGAAAGAACUGCCAGUGAUAAGCUGGAGGAAGGUGGGGAUGACGUCAAGUCCUCAUGGCCCUUAUGUGUUGGGCUACACACGUGCUACAAUGGUAUCUACAACAGGAAGCAAAACAGCGAUGUUAAGCAAAUCCCGAAAAGAUACCUCAGUUCGGAUUGCACUCUGCAACUCGAGUGCAUGAAGCUGGAAUUACUAGUAAUCGUGGAUCAGCGUGCCACGGUGAAUACGUUCCCGGGUCUUGUACACACCGCCCGUCACACCAUGGGAGUUGGUUCUACCUUAAGGCAAAGCUUAAAACCUUUGACCACGGUAUAGUCAGCGACUGGGGUGAAGUCGUAACAAGGUAGCCG